AUUGAACGCUGGCGGCAUGCCUUACACAUGCAAGUCGAACGGUAACAGGUUAAGCUGACGAGUGGCGAACGGGUGAGUAAUGUAUCGGAACGUGCCCAGUCGUGGGGGAUAACUGCUCGAAAGAGCAGCUAAUACCGCACACGACCUGAGGGUGAAAGCGGGGGAUCGCAAGCCCUCGCGCGAUUGGAGCGGCCGAUAUCAGAUUAGGUAGUUGGUGAGGUAAAGGCUCACCAAGCCGACGAUCUGUAGCUGGUCUGAGAGGGCGACCAGCCACACUGGGACUGAGACACGGCCCAGACUCCUACGGGAGGCAGCAGUGGGGAAUUUUGGACAAUGGGCGCAAGCCUGAUCCAGCCAUGCCGCGUGCGGGAAGAAGGCCUUCGGGUUGUAAACCGCUUUUGUCAGGGAAGAAAAGGUUCUGGCUAAUACCUGGGACUCAUGACGGUACCUGAAGAAUAAGCACCGGCUAACUACGUG
rnacentral:rRNA from 1 species